rnacentral:rRNA from 1 species
UACGAAGGGGGCUAGCGUUGCUCGGAAUCACUGGGCGUAAAGCGCACGUAGGCGGACUCUUAAGUCGGUGGUGAAAUCCUGGAGCUCAACUCCAGAACUGCCUUCGAUACUGAGAGUCUCGAGUCCGGGAGAGGUGAGUGGAACUGCGAGUGUAGAGGUGAAAUUCGUAGAUAUUCGCAAGAACACCAGUGGCGAAGGCGGCU